UCUCCUGGAAAACGGGUGGUAAUGCCGGAUGCUCCAUCACACCGCAUGGUGUGUUGGGAAAGCCUUUGCGGCAUGGGAUGGGGUCGCGUCCUAUCAGCUUGAUGGCGGGGUAACGGCCCACCAUGGCUUCGACGGGUAGCCGGCCUGAGAGGGCGACCGGCCACAUUGGGACUGAGAUACGGCCCAGACUCCUACGGGAGGCAGCAGUGGGGAAUAUUGCACAAUGGGCGCAAGCCUGAUGCAGCGACGCCGCGUGAGGGAUGGAGGCCUUCGGGUUGUAAACCUCUUUUGUUAGGGAGCAAGGCAUUUUGUGUUGAGUGUACCUUUCGAAUAAGCACCGGCUAACUACGUGCCAGCAGCCGCGGUAAUACGUAGGGUGCAAGCGUUAUCCGGAAUUAUUGGGCGUAAAGGGCUCGUAGGCGGUUCGUCGCGUCCGGUGUGAAAGUCCAUCGCUUAACGGUGGAUCCGCGCCGGGUACGGGCGGGCUUGAGUGCGGUAGGGGAGACUGGAAUUCCCGGUGUAACGGUGGAAUGUGUAGAUAUCGGGAAAGAAC
rnacentral:rRNA from 1 species